rnacentral:rRNA from 1 species
AUUGAACGCUGGCGGCAGGCCUAACACAUGCAAGUCGAGCGGAGCGGCGGACGGGUGCGUAAUGCCUAUGAAUCUGCAUGGUCGUGGGGGAUAACGUCCGGAACCGGGCGCUAAUACCGCAUACUAUCAGCAUCGCCUAGGUCGGAUUAGCUAGUUGGGGGGGUAAAGGCUUACCAAGGCGACGAUCCGUAACUGGUCUGAGAGGAUGAUCAGUCACACUGGAACUGAGACACGGUCCAGACUCCUACGGGAGGCAGCAGUGGGGAAUAUUGGACAAUGGGCGAAAGCCUGAUGCAGCCAUGCCGCGUGUGUGAAGAAGGUCUUCGGAUUGUAAAGCACUUUAAGUUGGGAGGCGUUACCAACAGAAGAAGCACCGGCUAACUCCGUGCCAGCAGCCGCGGUAAUAC